AUACGUAGGUGGCAAGCGUUGUCCGGAAUUAUUGGGCGUAAAGCGCAUGUAGGCGGCGUGUUAAGUCUGUCGUGAAACUGCGGGGCUCAGCCCCGUAUGGCGAUGGAAACUGAUGUGCUUGAGUGCAGGAGAGGAAAGGGGAACUCCCAGUGUAGCGGUGAAAUGCGUAGAUAUUGGGAAGAACACCGGUGGCGAAGGCGCCUUUCUGGACUGUGUCUGACGCUGAGAUGCGAAAGCCAGGGUAGCGAACGGGAUUAGAUACCCCGGUAUUCCUGGCCGUAAACGAUGGGUACUAGGUGUGGGAGGUAUCGACCCCUUCCGUGCCGGAGUUAACGCAAUAAGUACCCCGCCUGGGGAGUACGGCCGCAAGGCUUAAACUCAAAUGAAUUGACGGGG
rnacentral:rRNA from 1 species